CGCCCCUGCCCUUCAUCUCACCCAGCCACGCCCCCGUGUGGCCCACCCGCGCCGUAAACACGUGGGCGGGGAUUCUAGGCCCUGAAGUUUUCCUCCCAAGCUGACCGCCUCUGACCUUCAUACCCGAGACCGGUCACCUGCCUCAACACUCAUGUCAGAGGGCGGGGGCUGGAGCUAGUGUGUUCCCGUCAGAACGCUAAGGACCACCCUCGUUGGGGCCUGUGCUUCUCUCCCCAGCCACAGCCCGUGGGGCAGCCAACAGCACGGCGUCCUGCCUUCCUGAGAUGCUCCUGGUUAGUGCAGGGCAUGGGAGGGCUGCGCUUUGCUGUUUAACUUACAAGUUUGUGAUCUUAACCACAAACUCCACGUCUUCAGCCUCCCAGCUCAGUGCCCAGAACCGACACAGCCCUGGAGAGCGCCAGGCAGACUGAGGGAGGGACUGCCCGUCCUGGUGCUGGGGUUGAGGGUGAUGUUUUCCUUCUCCGAUUUCUAAACUGUUUGCACACUUGUUUACUUUAUAAUUGAAAAUAUAACUUGUAAUGUGAAGGCAAAAAUGACCGGCCAGAUCCCGUCAGUCCCAGACCAUGACUGACAGUUCGUCUGAACUUGACGGACCAACUAGUUCGUUCAUCAGCACGUGCUCUCGGGGAGCGCUGCCCCAGGUCCAGAGCGCGUUCAGGAGACGCUGAAACGGGAGCUGAAGUCCAGGAAAGACAUCAGUGUCUCUCUGCUAAGACAAAAACUGUUUAUUUUUUGAA